rnacentral:rRNA from 1 species
AUUGAACGCUGGCGGAAUGCUUUACACAUGCAAGUCGAACGGCAGCACGGGGGCAACCCUGGUGGCGAGUGGCGAACGGGUGAGUAAUACAUCGGAACGUGCCCAUGUCGUGGGGGAUAACGUAGCGAAAGCUACGCUAAUACCGCAUACGAUCUACGGAUGAAAGCGGGGGAUCGCAAGACCUCGCGCGAUUGGAGCGGCCGAUGGCAGAUUAGGUAGUUGGUGGGGUAAAGGCUCACCAAGCCUGCGAUCUGUAGCUGGUCUGAGAGGACGACCAGCCACACUGGGAAUGAGACACGGCCCAGACUCCUACGGGAGGCAGCAGUGGGGAAUUUUGGACAAUGGGCGCAAGCCUGAUCCAGCCAUUCCGCGUGCAGGAUGAAGGCCCUCGGGUUGUAAACUGCUUUUGUACGGAACGAAACGGCCUUUUCUAAUACAAGAGGCUAAUGACGGUACCGUAAGAAUAAGCACCGGCUAACUACGUGCCAGCAGCCGCAGUAAGAC